UCGCGAAAAAUUUCAUUUUGCCGCCACUCUUGCCUGGGGCCAUGUUCGAGAGGGUAAUUUCUACGAACGGGCGUUCCCUGAAGCUCUUUGAGGUUGCUGUUCUUUGCUGCUGCUGCAUUUGUUACUCGGCUUACGCGGACACCAUCAAUGUGAAAGGAUGUGGUCGUUUUGACCAGAAACUCAAGGCUAAACCUGGGACGAUCCUUAAAAGGCUGC
rnacentral:lncRNA from 1 species